GAUUGCUUACUGAAUCAUUCCCUAAGAAAAGAGACAAAUUCGGAUGCUCGUAUAUAUGUAUCACUUAUUGCCAUGGUCUAAUAACAGUACAACUAUGCAAGAUUACAAGCAUGAAGCUUAUUUAAAGCCCCUAUAUCCAAACUCUAUAAUUUAGAAGAAUUGAAACAGAUGAUUAAUCGAUAACGUAAUGAUCACCCAAAAACAACAGCUUCCCUCUAAAAGUAAUACGUGAUAGUAGACGAGUUGUAUCCUCCAAAUGUCAGAGGCAAUAUGAAAAAAAGCUAGGGCUCUGUUAGAAUGCGGUUCUGUAUAUCUCCAAAUGACUUCACAUCUACACCCCACAGCCAGCAGUCAAUUCCAGCAGCAUUUGCUCCCCCUUUAUCAGCCUUUUCAUCAUCUCCGACAUGGACAGUUUUCAUUGCUUCCACACUGAUCUGAUCUAAAGCAGCUCUGAAUAUCUUUGUAUCUGGUUUUUCAUGUCCAACCUCUGAAGAUAUGAUGACAGCAUCAAAUAGAUCCAACAUGUUCAGAUCUUUCAAAAUCUUCCUCAACCGGGUGUCGAAGUUGGAUACAACGGCCAGUUUGACUCCUGAACGUUUCAGAAUCAGUAUUGUGUCAUAGGCUCCAGCUGGAAGAUGCCAUGCCUCUCCACUUGCAUAGUGCUGGUAUACUUCUUCAAAGUAGGUAUCGUCACUACAGCCAGUUGCUUCAGAAACUACAAGCUUCCAGAAAGGCCGUCCAUCAUCCUGAUAACGAAGAUUUUCUGGCCAGGGAGCAGAAAAAGCUCUUUUGAAACCUUGCUUUAUUUCGGCUGGAGAAGUUGUCAGCCCAUAUUUCUUGCCAAUCCCAG
rnacentral:misc_RNA from 1 species